rnacentral:rRNA from 1 species
CAGCCGCCGCGGGAAUACGGAGGGAGCUAGCGUUAUUCGGAAUUACUGGGCGUAAAGCGCACGUAGGCGGUUACUCAAGUCAGAGGUGAAAGCCCGGGGCUCAACCCCGGAACUGCCUUUGAAACUAGGUGACUAGAAUCUUGGAGAGGUCAGUGGAAUUCCGAGUGUAGAGGUGAAAUUCGUAGAUAUUCGGAAGAACACCAGUGGCGAAGGCGACUGACUGGACAAGUAUUGACGCUGAGGUGCGAAAGCGUGGGGAGCAAACAGGAUUAGAUACCCGAGUAGUCCCUGUCUCUUAUAA